rnacentral:rRNA from 1 species
GCUUGUCUCAAAGAUUAAGCCAUGCAUGUCUAAGUAUAGUACCUUAUACUGCGAAACUGCGAAUGGCUCAUUAAAUCAGUUAUAAUUCAUUUGAUGGUACUUACUACUCGGAUAACCGUAGUAAUUCUAGAGCUAAUACAUGCGCCCAGACCCAACUUUUAGGAAGGGUUGUAUUUAUUAGGUACAGAACCAAUGCAAGCUCCGCUUGACCUUUUGGUGAUUCAUGGUAACCGAACGAAUCGCACGGCACCAGCUGGCGAUGGACCAUUUCAGUUUCUGACCUAUCAGCUUCCGACGGUAGGAUAUGGGCCUACCGUGGCAAUGACGGGUAACGGAGAAUUAGGGUUCGAUUCCGGAGAGGGAGCCUGAGAAACGGCUACCACAUCUAAGGAAGGCAGCAGG